rnacentral:tRNA from 1 species
UCCUCUGUAGUUCAGUCGGGAGAACGGCGGACUGUUAAUCCGUAUGUCACUGGUUCGAGUCCAGUCAGAGGAGCCA